rnacentral:lncRNA from 1 species
AUGCGAGGCGAGGCCCAUGUAGGAAUGGUGAGGGCUUUCGAGGGAUUUUUCAACCGUGGUGAUGACCCCCAUGGUGGUGACCUCCGCCGCCACCUCCGUAGUGACCUCCGUGGCUUCCUCCUCCACCGUGAUGGUGACCUCCGCCUCCACCGUGGUGGUGACCUCCGCCUCCUCCGUGGUGGUGACCUCCGCCGCCUCCGUAGCCUGGUUCCGGAGCAGCGACAGCGAACGCGAUCAGAGCGACUAACAUCAGGAGCAGAGAUCUCUGCAACAGCCCAAGUAACAAAUAUAAGUGUUUGUAGUCGCUAUGCCGUAAGCAAACAAUCAUGAGGAACUCCUCAUGACGUCAUGAGUUACACGACGUUGCCAGACCCAGUGCUCCCAUUUCCCGGAACUAGUUCCAAAUUCCGGAACUUUCGAGAUUUUCCUGAAUUUUUCCCGAAACUAUCGAAUUUUCCGGAUCUUUUGUAUUUUCCGAAAUUUUUGAAUUCCCUGAAAUGUUCAGGAUCUUUUGCAUUUUCCGAAAUUUUCGAAUUUCCUGAAAUGUUUCGGAUCUUUUGCAUUUUCCGACAUUUUCGAAUUCCCUGAAAUGUUCCAGAUCUUUUGUAUUUUCCGAAAUUUUCGAAUUUCCUAAAAUGUUCCUGAUCUUUUGCAUUUUCCGAAACUUUCUCGGAACGUUUGAGAAAAAUCUAAAAGGAAUCGGGGAACUUACGACGGUCAUGAAAUGGAGAAAUUGGAACAAAAAACUUCCAAAUCCCGCAACUUUUGACGGACAUGGAAGGGCACUGAGGCCUGACCUGAACGACGAGCGGGAACGUAGAGUUCUUUCCCUAUAAAUUGGACGUAUUUCUGCCAAACGGAACUAUGUGCAUUAAGACAUGAGCUCUGAGACCCAUAAGAAUAUAUGCAUGACAGGGUUCGCGUCAUAAUGCACAUAGUUCCGUUUGGCAUAAAUACAUCCAAUCGUUCUCAUCUGUCUCAUUAAGUAGCGGAUUUUUUAUUAAGUAUCGUAUUCUAUUGCCGCAAUUGAAUUAUUAUGAAGAUUUCACAGCGUUGAUGUGGUGACUUAAACGCAGAACAGAAACGUAGAGAUCGUUUCUCAUGAAUUAUGACCAUCGGGAUGGAUCUACAGGUGGUUUUAGCCAGACAAAGUUUGAAUUUAAGUAUUCUGAAGUAUUGACGGUAAAACUACCAGACGACGUAUCUUGGUUUGCGACGUUGCAGACGUUGUAUCAUACCUUAUUUUUUUAAAGAAAAAUUACUCAACACAUAACCUUAAAAACUGCCGUGAUUUCCCCUCCUAUUUUGAAGCCUUGAUCUUUUAUUGACAAUAUGUUGUGUUAAGGGUUUUCGAGUCCAUACAGGAGAGUAUACAUGGGUCUCCUUCAAACUGAUAGAUAUGCGAUUUGAGUUACUUAGAAGCUGGUAUAGUUGUAUUUAACAUUUCCGCCUCGGCGCGGCGGUUAGUAUUAAACGCUGUAGUUUAAAUUUGUUUAUAGAGUGUACCGUCAUAAAGUAAGUAUAUUUGAGCUGUGACUCUUCAGUAUUUUUUUUACAGAAUGAGAUUAAAUGAAUGUUAUGAGUUUUAGCUAUUACAUUCCGGAACAUGAAAGAAUUGUACUAGGGAAAAACAAAUUGAAAAACGCACGUAAUUUAAAGAAAUGCUAAAUGUCUUUCGGGGCAAAGCCUCCAUUUCAGCAGCAUAAUAAUUUACACACAUCAGAUAGAAAGAGCCGUAUAAUUCAAACAAACAGUAUUGCAAUUAAAAUCAUAUUUCAAUAAAUUAAAUCGAGUAAAAUAAAGUUAUGACAGAUGGUCAAAACAACCGAAGGUGAUAAAUCAAAGAUGGGAAUGAAAAGGCUCACAUUUUCAUAAUUAUUUUCAACUUUUAUCUUCUGCUUUUAUCAACACUUUUUGUUUUGCUCACUUGUUAUCACGUUAUCUUUAAAUUUACACGAUUUGUUGAAAUAUAAUUUAAUUUUGAGAUAUUUUGGUGUUACUACAUUGUUCUUUUUAUCUACCACAUGAAAUUUUAAUAUUUUUUUAUGCUUCUGAUUGUGAGGCUUGGACUCAAAGGGAUUUAGCUUUUUGCUCACAAAUGUGUUCUUUUUUUCAUGUAUGAGCCUAUGGCGUCUCCCAAGGUAGUGGCUAGAACCCUUAUUUAUUCAUUCAAUUUUCGCUCCGCUACUUGGAAUCAUGUUCAAGAGUAUUUUCCUGACCCGGCGCUCUUUUUUAAAACCACCAUGUGAUAAAAACAGAAACGAAACAUCUCGAAUUCAAUAUAUUGUGAUAAUAUGUCGUGAUAAUGGUCAAUAAUAAGAAAGUAUUCAUAUUGACCAUUUAUUGUAAUAUCCCGCUUUAAAAUGACACGCACAAGAAAUUUAGAUAAUGUGUUGUUAAACAAAAAUUUCCUCGAAUCUCAUUAAUGCUUGACAUGCGUUUACUAUUGAUAAUUUAUUGAUUGCUUAACCAUGACAUUGGGCUCCACCAACUGCUACCUUCCCCUCUUGUAAUAAAAUUAUAGUGCCGGAAUAAAAUUUACUUUAUUUGACCCAGCAUAAAUCGUUUCAUGAAAAAGUUGGCUCCUUGCACUGAAAGUUAUUAUUUCCCAUUGGAUCGCAUUAGCAAAAGGAACUACCGUGAUUACAGUGUUGUAAAAAUGUUAUUUUUCGUAACUAUCCAGAAAAAUAUUCCAGAAUUGCAGAAAGUUUUUUCUCCCCACCAAAAAAUCGUCAAUUUUGGAGGAAAAUUAUUGUUGUGUACAUUGUAAUACCGUAGACAUGGACCGCGUUAAACAGAAAGGAAGCAAGCCACAUCAGCUAUUGCCAAAUUUAACCGGGCAAUUUAAUUUUUUACAUGAAAAUGGUUGUGCAGAUUUUCAUGCAAAUCUCAGAGAAUUUUCUCCACAGUGCGAAGCGAAUUCCUCAAAAUUUCAACAAAAUCCGCACGAACGUUUCCUCGUAGAAAAUUAAAGUGCCCACUUAAAUUUGGCAAUAGCUGAUGUGGCUUGCUUCCUUUCUGUUUAACGCGGUCCGUAUAUGAAUAAGUAUUUUUAAAAGAAAAGAAGAAGUUGUAAGACUUUGAAGACUUAUAGUACAAUUACAUUUCGGCGAUUGCAAAAUUAACGAUCUCAAUGGAUAGUUGGACUUUGCCGCGCCAAUUUUCAUGCGAUUUGCAAGCAAGAUUGCGCUACUCACCAAGAGUGUGAAAUCCAUCGUAGCGUGAAGAUGCAAAAAAUUAGAAGAAGAUCACUGUCGAGUAAACGAUAUGAAUAAACUGUAUCGAUUAGGUAAGCCACAAACGCUUUUAUACGCGAAUAUUCUUCCGUGGUGCAAAUAUGAGGGAAGUCCGCCAAGUUGGUUCCAAACGCGGCCCUGUCGCCAAAUCGUGCAGAAUCCAACUGAAAUCCGGCAGCCGACCUAUCGCGCUCAGGAAGAACGUCGUAUAAUCACUCCAGCGUUGCCUAAUUUCACCCGGUAAAAUAGCAAUUUUAGACGAAAGUUGUGAAUAUUUCUCCUUGAAAUUUUCACACACUUUAAAGUAAAUCAUGAUCAAAAUGAUUCAAACGGGUGUGGAGGAAAAUAUUCACGAAUUUUUCAGGAAAUUCGUGUUUUAUUUAAGAAAUUUGGCAACUUCCGAAGGCUCAUACGGUGACUUUCCUCGUGACAAUGACCCA